UAACUAUCUACAGUCUUGAGAUGAGGUUGGCCCAUGGCUACUGAAACUCUAAAAUAUAUUUCAGGAACAAUUUGGGUUGGAAGGAGGCUGCCCAGUGUGUGGAGUCAAUUUGGGAAGGCAGUGUUGGCACCAUCUUCAGAAGGUCUAGGUAGAUUCUUUACCAACCGAGCUACCAGGGAAUCCCACAGAAGAAGGUGCCUGGAGCUGCUGGCUUUUCCCUGCCAGGCAGGAGACCCCGAAGCUGCUCUGUCCUCCCUCCCCUCUGUAGGCUGGGGAGGGCAUCUUUCUGAUCCUUGGAUAAAAUCCCUCCUAUCAAGAUCAUCCAUCAGUAUCUUCCUGAACAUUCCCAAAGGCCCUCUGAGCCUCCUGUGACCUCUGAAUUGUUCGUGGGGAGGCAUGUGGACUUUCUCUUCCAC
rnacentral:lncRNA from 1 species